rnacentral:misc_RNA from 1 species
GGAAAGCUGGCGCUGGUGUGGUGAGUAGCUACAGGGAAGGAGAGUCAAGCGAAACAGGAGGGGAAUAUGCCGGUGGAAUAUUUUCCCUUGGUGUUGUCCACAACACUAUAUUAUUUUAUGAUAAUAAUUUGGUGGGAAUCGCUGCAUAUAAAUACCCAAUCUCCUCCUCUGCCAUGUUUUAAAUCACAAGCACUGCCUUUCAUUCCUUUCCUUCAAUUCUCUGCACUUUCUCUGAUCCAUUCUCUCCCAUUCCCUCUUUAGUUCUCAGUUUCUCCACUAGGACAGGAAGAUACAGGAGGAAAAGAAAAAGGAAAAAGCUUGUGAAUUGAGCUAGCAAGCUAGCUAUGGCUAAGGAAUUACAGGUUCUUAGUGCUCUUGAUGUAGCGAAAACACAAUGGUACCACUUCACUGCAAUUAUCAUUGCAGGAAUGGGCUUUUUCACAGACGCAUAUGACCUCUUUUGCAUAUCUCUUGUCACCAAACUGCUUGGCCGCAUAUACUACCAUGUUGAUGGUGCAGCGAAGCCUGGAACUUUGCCUCCUAAUGUAUCAGCUGCUGUUAAUGGUGUAGCAUUUUGUGGAACUCUUGCAGGGCAGCUCUUCUUUGGUUGGCUCGGUGACAAGAUGGGGCGGAAGAAAGUCUAUGGUAUGACACUUAUGCUCAUGGUGAUAUGCUCAGUCGCCUCAGGUCUUUCUUUUGGUCAUAAUGCUAAAGCUGUGAUGUCAACCCUUUGCUUCUUCCGGUUCUGGCUUGGAUUUGGCAUUGGUGGUGACUACCCGCUUUCUGCCACAAUCAUGUCUGAA